UGGGGAAUAUUGCACAAUGGGCGCAAGCCUGAUGCAGCCAUGCCGCGUGUAUGAAGAAGGCCUUCGGGUUGUAAAGUACUUUCAGCGGGGAGGAAGGGAGUAAAGUUAAUACCUUUGCUCAUUGACGUUACCCGCAGAAGAAGCACCGGCUAACUCCGUGCCAGCAGCCGCGGUAAUACGGAGGGUGCAAGCGUUAAUCGGAAUUACUGGGCGUAAAGCGCACGCAGGCGGGUUGUUAUGUCCGAUGUGAAAUCCCCGGGCUCAACCUGCGAACUGCAGCUGAUAGUGACAACCUUGAGUCUCGUAGAGGGGGGUAGAAUUCCAGGUGUAGCGGUGAAAUGAGUAGAGAUCUGGAGGAAUACCGGUGGCGAAGGCGGCCACCUGGACGAAGUCUGACGCUCAGGUGCGAAAGCGUGGGGAGCAAACAGG
rnacentral:rRNA from 1 species